rnacentral:rRNA from 1 species
GUGAGGAAUAUUGGACAAUGGGCGCAAGCCUGAUCCAGCCAUGCCGCGUGCAGGAAGACGCAUCUAUGGUGUGUAAACUGCUUUUGUACGGGAAGAAACACUCCCUCGUGAGGGAGCUUGACGGUACCGUAAGAAUAAGGAUCGGCUAACUCCGUGCCAGCAGCCGCGGUAAUAUGGAGGAUCCAAGCGUUAUCCGGAAUCAUUGGGUUUAAAGGGUCCGUAGGCGGUUUAAUAAGUCAGUGGUGAAAGCCCAUCGCUCAACGAUGGAACGGCCAUUGAUACUGUUAGACUUGAAGUACAAGGAAGUAACUAGAAUAUGUAGUGUAGCGGUGAAAUGCUUAGAUAUUACAUGGAAUACCAAUUGCGAAGGCAGGUUACUACUUGUGGAUUGACGCUGAUGGACGAAAGCGUGGGGAGCGAACAGGAUUAGAAACCCGGGUAGUCC